CCCCGUAGAUGGAAAACCAAACUCAAAGGACAUGGUGUGGCUGAAUCAAGGGUCUGCGAGCUGCUUCUCCCUGGAGUGUUCUCCUGAGGCAGCCCCUGCAGGCCCCCAGGGUGGCUGUGGAGUCGGGGACCCUUCUCCUGCCUUAAUCGGAGCCACAGCACUGUUGCUGCUGCCCCUACAAAGCCUUUCUCGGAGAGGAACAAAUCUACCCAAGGAGACUGCUGAGAUCUUUUUCUUUGGAGAAUGUUUUUAGUCUUGAUUUGAAAACUUCAUAACAAAAAAAAAUUUUUAGUAUGUAACAUUUUGAUUUAGGAUAUGGCCGUGCCUCCCUGACCUCAUUGGAAAAUUUCAAAAAAUG
rnacentral:lncRNA from 1 species